CUACAGACCAAAGACUAGAAGAAAAAAGAUUAACUGCUCCUUUUCCUCCACAUUCUUAAGGCCUUCUAAGAAAUUUCCUUCCCAAUUCACUUGAUGCUGCUUGCUUCACUGAAGCUACAGGUAGAAGCUGACUACCAAAGGAGAAGGCUGAGGAGAAAUUGCUCCAUGAGAUAAGACAUGCAACCUAUGUAUUAAGUAAGACAUUGUUGAUGAUCCUCUCCCUAGCUCUUACAACAAAUACCCAGUUCCUGUGGGUUUGUAACAUCUCGUUAUUCCUGAAGGAACAGAUCUGGAAGAAGGCAGACUUUUCUGUAAGCCCAAAAAUUCUUCAGGGUUCCUGGUCGCCCAGCAUGGCCAGGGUCUCAAACCGUCUAAUUCAAUCUGCUCUAAUGGAGUCAAGCUGACAGUAAAGAGAAGAUCAGAAACAGCGAGUCUAAUCUGCCUAUAUGGGAGAAAAUUCAGCAAACAGGAACCAGCUCAGAGACCAAGAAAACCAAACAAGGUUAUUAACCCACAUCAGAACACCAGAGAGAUAACAAGAAGUUGGUUCCAAGAUGAAAAAUGCAAGAGAGAAGCAGAUUGUGGAAUAAAAGAGAGGAUGUUCCAUGUUCAUAUACACCUGAUUGUAGUUAGAGCCUCACCCUUCCUUUCUAUCUCAGCAGGGACCUUCUGGAAAAGCUUUUCAUUCUGUGCACUUUUCUUUCUCUGGCUUUCUUUGUCUCUAGAUUUUCUUUGUUCUGUGCCUGAUCUGUCAUAAUCCUCUGAGGUUUUAUUCUCAUUCCUCUGCAUCCCCCCCUGAAAAAAAUCUUAUUUUCUUACAAUUUCAGGUAUCCCAUAAUACUAAUUAUGGCUAAGCACCUCUUUGUUUCUAUGUGGAUCUUUUCUUGAAUCCUUGUUUCAUACCAUUAACUGCAUACAAAAUAUCUCUAUUUAGAAAUGAUAUUGCAAUUUCAAACUCAACUGUAUGAAAGUAUUUUUAUUGGUAUCUUAAAAACACAUUUCCACUGAUAAUACCAAUAUUUGAGUACUCCUCACCUUGUGUUCAGAUUACUGCAAUGCAUUCCUAUCAGGUAAUUCUUCCUUCAAUCUCCUGCACCUCAAAUCCAACUUAUUAAUAUCUUCAAAUUUAAAAGAAUUAAAUUCCAUUUUUAGCAUAUUAUCCCUCUGAUUGAAAGGAAAAAAUCUUAAUUUUUUUGUUACAAUAAAAUUUCUUAACUUAAAAUCAGCUGAGAACUCUUGCUGUGUUUGAGGUUACAAAAGUGCUUAACUAGAGACUGUAACAACACUAUUCAGCCAACAACAGGGGUUAUUUUUAGAAUCCUACUUACCAUUAGAAUUCUAAAUUUGAACCUGGACUUGCAGGUUACUAUGAGGACAUAUUUGUCAAUGUUGGAGAAUGCAACAUAUUAUAUUUAACAAUUUGUUUUCCUAGUUUGUUAUUUCAUGUAUGUAGGUAUAAUAUGCAAUUGUACUCCUGCCCCACCCUUGAAAAUCUAGUGGAUGAGCCUAGAAAGAAACCUGAGGAAUCUGAUAAGACAUGAGCAGAGGCAGAAACUUCAGCAAUUGUGGUGGCAACAGCCACAAGGGAGUGUAUGAGGUAAAGUUUGAAGAUCUACUAAUACAUUUAAGUUAGAAGAUUGAGGAAUAAAGUCUAUAUUCAUUAACCCAUCAUUACUAACCCUUCAUACAGUUCAUCAAACAUUCUUCGCUCGUGCUUUUAAAAUGGAAUACCAUGCUCUGCCUCCCCUUUCCCACUUCACCCCACCUGCACCUCACAUACCCUGACUGCUUUGAAUCUUUCUGCAAACACUGAGUACUCAACCUUCUAUAAACUCCUACUCUACUCCCUAUACUACAUUUUUCUCCUAACUCCUAAGGCACAUUUUUGUCUAUCUUGGUCAUUUGGAAAUUAGCAUUCCCAAUUUUAUUCAGCCUUGUAAACUUCUUAAUGUUAUAAACACCAUAUACAAAAGCUCUUCUAGAUUGUGAUCUUGUUGAGUUAAAGUACCAUGGCUUACUGAUCUCUCUUAGUGAAGAGGGAAUGUACCGAACCAUGUUAAAUACCCAGAUGAAGUGAGUUAAAGUUAUUUUCCCAAUGUUUGUUUCUUACGGGUGUUCCCUGAAAAAGGAUUUAGCGUUAAAAUAAGUUUGGGCAGUUUUUACAAAGUUAAGCAUGUUUCUUUACUUCAAUGCUUAUCAGAGCCUUUAAUAUACUAUUAAAUAUGAUUAAUAUCUAAAAACAAAUAAUAGUGAAGAGUUGACCAUAUUUAUUGACCUUUUUUUCAAGAAUAUCUUACACAGCUAGUGUUACAUAAUAGAUACUUUUGAAAAGCCUGGCUUAAAAGCUAGUCCUCAAUCAACUAUCUACAUAUGUAUUAUUCAUAUGUAGUAUAUAAUACCAAAUUUUCGUAUGUAUUCAAAAGGCUACUUUUUACUUUGACAUCCCCAUUCCAACUCUGGGAAAUUGUUCAGACUCUACAAAACUAUCUGAUACGCACAUUUCCUGCUCACUCAGUCUUUAGAGAUAAAAAUUCAGGUCUCUUUUACAAAAUAUAGUGAUGGACUGAUCUCCAUGUCCAUUGAUAAAAGAUCCAGAGUGAAUAGCUUUAUAUCAAAACAUGAAAUAUUACGAUUCUAGUUAUUAACUGGAAUGUGUUAAGGAGGCAGAUGAGAGAUAGAAUCUUUCGCUCUGAAGAGCAUCUGAUUUUUCAUGGCUAAAAAUGGUUUUGACAUCUGUGAGGUGGACCUUAUCAGGAUUUCUUGGGUUGUAAGCAUCCUGUGGACAGACACAACGGCUUUCUUAGUUUUAUAAAGUAUCUUAAGAGAACAUCAGCUAAGAAUAUUGACAGUAACAAUGAACAGAAUGCUUUUUGCUCCCUCC
rnacentral:lncRNA from 1 species